rnacentral:snRNA from 1 species
GGACGUGAGGGCGAUCUGGCUGCGACGUCUGUCGCCCCAUUGAUCGCCAGGGUUUUUUCCGGCUGAUCUGGCUGGCUGGGUGGGUGUCCCCUUCCUCCCUGGCUCCACGUGCGUCCCUCCGGAAGCUGCGUGCUCAGUGGGUGAAGACGCCGACCUUCCCCGAGUAGCCGAGGCCCGGGCUUCGGUCAAGGGUAUACGAGCAGCUGCGCUCCCUGCUGCAACCUCCAAACACGCUCUCAAGAACACUUUUCUAGGAGGUUUCAUUAGGUUGAAAUCGGGUAAUUUUUGUCUCUGAGGCACAACAGAAAAUUAAAGCAACUUUGCAUAUUUGUAUUCUAAUUAU